rnacentral:lncRNA from 1 species
AUGUUUACAUUCACUGAGAGACGAUCAUUAUUUUCCGUUAACGACGAGCUGGCGGGAAAACAAGCAACGAAAAUUAUUUCUGGAUCAGAUGAUUUACAGGAAGUGAGGUCACUGGAGAUGUGUGUUGAUACGGGACAGGACACUCUGGACAACUUCGCCCUUUGCUGGCAGAUACAGACACAGAUAAAUACAAACAAGCAGCUUUUGAAGAUGCUUUGAGCAGCGCUCCAUGUGUUUAAGAAGCAGUCUCUCCAUCAGAAGAGAGCUCUGUCAGACCCACGAGUCUCUCCAGACAGCGCCAGACCUCUCUCUUCCUGCAGCGGAUCAAGACCAGGGUCCUCCGGCUCCGACAUCGCCGUCCUGAACCACGAGGCAGUGAUCUGACCAACGGUAAACUCCUGCUGCACACUCUUCAUGUGAGUGAGAAACUACAGAAAUAAUCACAGCGUGGCUUCAAAUCAAGCAGUUAAGAACGCUGUAAAUAUUAGUAUCAUAAUUUGACAGUUAUACUGUAAAAAAUAAAUUAUUAUAUUUUAAUAAAUACUCAUUUUUACAAAGAAAUAAUACAGUAGUAAUAUUUAUUUUGUUUAAUGUUUUUAAUAAUAAUAACA